AGCAUGUGGUUAAUUCGAAGCAACGCGAAGAACCUUACCAGGUCUUGACAUCCCGCUGACCGCCUGGGAGACUAGGCUUUCCCUUCGGGGACAGCGGUGACAGGUGGUGCAUGGUUGUCGUCAGCUCGUGUCGUGAGAUGUUGGGUUAAGUCCCGCAACGAGCGCAACCCUUGAUCUUAGUUGCCAGCAUUCAGUUGGGCACUCUAAGGUGACUGCCGGUGACAAACCGGAGGAAGGUGGGGAUGACGUCAAAUCAUCAUGCCCCUUAUGACCUGGGCUACACACGUGCUACAAUGGACGGUACAAAGGGCUGCAAACCCGCGAGGGGGAGCCAAUCCCAGAAAGCCGGUCUCAGUUCGGAUUGGGGUCUGCAACUCGACCCCAUGAAGUCGGAGUCGCUAGUAAUCGCAGAUCAGCAACGCUGCGGUGAAUACGUUCCCGGGCCUU
rnacentral:rRNA from 1 species